rnacentral:rRNA from 1 species
AACGAAAGAGGGAGGAAGAGAGAACACAUGCAAGUCGAACGAGACCUUCGGGUCUAGUGGCGCACGGGUGCGUAACGCGUGGGAACCUGCCCUUAGGUUCGGAAUAACUCCCCGAAAGGGGUGCUAAUACCGGAUAAUGUCUUCGGACCAAAGAUUUAUCGCCUUUGGAUGGGCCCGCGUUGGAUUAGCUAGUUGGUAGGGUAAAAGCCUACCAAGGCGACGAUCCAUAGCUGGUCUGAGAGGAUGAUCAGCCACACUGGGACUGAGACACGGCCCAGACUCCUACGGGAGGCAGCAGUGGGGAAUAUUGGACAAUGGGCGAAAGCCUGAUCCAGCAAUGCCGCGUGAGUGAUGAAGGCCUUAGGGUUGUAAAGUUCUUUUACCCGGGAUGAUAAUGACAGUACCGGGAGAAUAAGCUCCGGCUAACUCCGUU